rnacentral:rRNA from 1 species
AUUGAACGCUGGCGGCAGGCCUAACACAUGCAAGUCGAGCGAGCUGCGGACGGGUGAGUAAUGUAUUGGUACUUCCCGAUAAAGGUGGAUAACUACUGGAAACGGUAGCUAAUUACGCAUACUAUCGGACAACCCAUUUGGGUUUAGCUCGUGGGUGAGGUAAUGGCUAACCUAGGCGACAAUCCCUAGCUGGUCUGAGAUGAUGAUCAGCCACACUGGGACUGAGACACGGCCCAGAUUCCUCCGGAGGCAGCAGUGGGGAAUAUUGCACAAUGGGGGCAAGCCUGAUGCAGCAAUGCCGCGUGUAUGAAGAAGGCCCUAGGGUUGUAAAGUACUUUCAGUCGGGAGGCGUUACCGACAGAAGAAGCACCGGCUAACUCCGUGCCAGCAGCCGCGGUAAUUC